UACAGAGGGUGCGAGCGUUAAUCGGAAUUACUGGGCGUAAAGCGUGCGUAGACGGCUAUCUAAGUCGGGUGUGAAAGCCCCGGGCUCAACCUGGGAAUUGCAUUCGAGACUGAAUAGCUAGGGUGCGGUAGAGGGAAGCGGAAUUUCCGGUGUAGCGGUGAAAUGCGUAGAUAUCUGGAGGAACACCGGUGGCGAAGGCGGCAUUCUGGACCGAUAUUGACGCUGAGGAGCGAAAGCCAGGGGAGCAAACGGG
rnacentral:rRNA from 1 species